GCUGGGCAUGGUGGCGCAUGCCUGUAAUCCCAGCUACUCAGGAGGCUGAGGCAGGAGAAUCGCUUGAACCUGGGAGGUGGAGGUUGCAGUGAGCUGAUAUCGCACCAUUGCACUCCAGUUGAAGAUCCUGAUUUCUCUAUAUUCUUGUCACUACUUGUGUUUUGUUUUGUUUUGUUUUGUUUUUUGUUUUUGGAGAUGGAGUCUCGCUCUUGUCCCCCAGGCUGGAGUGCACUGGUGGGAUCUCUGCUUAUUGCAACCUACCUCCACCUCCUGGGUUCAAGCGAUUCUCUUGCCUCAG
rnacentral:SRP_RNA from 2 species